rnacentral:rRNA from 1 species
UACGUAGGGGGCGAGCGUUGUCCGGAAUUACUGGGCGUAAAGCGCGUGUAGGCGGUUGAUCAAGUCGGGUGUGAAAUGCUACAGCUUAACUGUGGCACUGCGCUCGAAACUGGUUGACUGGAGUUCGGUAGGGGUAACUGGAAUUCCUGGUGUAACGGUGAAAUGUGUAGAUAUCAGGAGGAACACCUGUGGCGAAGGCGGGUUACUGGACCAGAACUGACGCUGAGACGCGAGAGCGUGGGGAGCAAACAGG